GACGAACGCUGGCGGCGUGCUUAACACAUGCAAGUCGAACGCGUGGCGAACGGGUGAGUAAUACGUGGGUAACCUGCCCUCUUUUUGGGAUAAGCCUUGGAAACGGGGUCUAAUACCGAAUAAAGGGGGAUGGGCUCGCGGUCUAUCAGCUUGUUGGUGGGGUGAUGGCCUACCAAGGUGGUGACGGGUAGCCGGCCUGGGAGGGUGGACGGCCAAAUUGGGACUGAGGUACGGCCCAGACUCCUACGGGAGGCAGCAGUGGGGAAUAUUGCACAAUGGGCGCAAGCCUGAUGCAGCCAUGCCGCGUGUAUGAAGAAGGCCUUCGGGUUGUAAAGCUCUGUUAAUCGGGACGCGGUACCGGAAUAGAAAGCCACGGCUAACUACGUGCCAGCAGCCGCGGUAAUUC
rnacentral:rRNA from 1 species